rnacentral:sRNA from 1 species
GCUGGGCAAGGUGGCACAUGCCUGGAGUCCUAGUACUCAGGAGGCUGAGACAGGAGGAUCGCUUGAGCCUAGGAGUUUGAGGUCAGCCUGAGCAACACAGUGAGACCAUGUUUUAA